rnacentral:rRNA from 1 species
UACGGAGGUUGCGAGCGAUGUUCGGAAUCAUUGGGCGUAAAGCGCGUGUAGGCGGCUUGGCAAGUCGGUUGUGAAAUCCCGGGGCCCAACCCCGGAACUGCAAUCGAAACUGCCUCGCUAGAGUCCCGGAGAGGAAGGCGGAAUUCCCGGUGUAGAGGUGAAAUUCGUAGAUAUCGGGAGGAACACCAGUGGCGAAGGCGGCCUUCUGGACGGUGACUGACGCUCAGACGCGAAAGCGUGGGGAGCAAACAGG